rnacentral:rRNA from 1 species
CCUACGGGGGGCCGCAGUGGGGAAUAUUGGACAAUGGGGGGAACCCUGAUCCAGCCAUGCCGCGUGUGUGAAGAAGGCCCUCGGGUUGUAAAGCACUUUCAGUGAGGAAGAACGCCUGGUGGUUAAUACCCAUCAGGAAAGACAUCACUCACAGAAGAAGCACCGGCUAACUCCGUGCCAGCAGCCGCGGUAAUACGGAGGGUGCGAGCGUUAAUCGGAAUUACUGGGCGUAAAGCGCGCGUAGGUGGCUUGAUAAGCCGGUUGUGAAAGCCCCGGGCUCAACCUGGGAACGGCAUCCGGAACUGUCAAGCUAGAGUGCAGGAGAGGAAGGUAGAAUUCCCGGUGUAGCGGUGAAAUGCGUAGAGAUCGGGAGGAAUACCAGUGGCGAAGGCGGCCUUCUGGACUGACACUGACACUGAGGUGCGAAAGCGUGGGUAGCAAACAGGAUUAGAUACCCCGGUAGUC